GAACGCGAAGAACCUUACCAUCCUUUGACAUGGCGUGUUACCCAGAGAGAUUUGGGGUCCACUUCGGUGGCGCGCACACAGGUGCUGCAUGGCUGUCGUCAGCUCGUGUCGUGAGAUGUUGGGUUAAGUCCCGCAACGAGCGCAACCCACGUCCUUAGUUGCCAUCAUUCAGUUGGGCACUCUAGGGAGACUGCCGGUGAUAAGCCGCGAGGAAGGUGUGGAUGACGUCAAGUCCUCAUGGCCCUUACGGGAUGGGCUACACACGUGCUACAAUGGCGGUGACAGUGGGACGCGAAGGAGCGAUCUGGAGCAAAUCCCCAAAAGCCGUCUCAGUUCGGAUUGCACUCUGCAACUCGGGUGCAUGAAGGCGGAAUCGCUAGUAAUCGUGGAUCAGCACGCCACGGUGAAUACGUUCCCGGGUCUUGUACACACC
rnacentral:rRNA from 1 species